rnacentral:rRNA from 1 species
GAUGAACGCUGGCGGCGUGCCUAAUACAUGCAAGUCGAGCGAAUGGAUUAAGAGCUUGCUCUUAUGAAGUUAGCGGCGGACGGGUGAGUAACACGUGGGUAACCUGCCCAUAAGACUGGGAUAACUCCGGGAAACCGGGGCUAAUACCGGAUAACAUUUUGAACCGCAUGGUUCGAAAUUGAAAGGCGGCUUCGGCUGUCACUUAUGGAUGGACCCGCGUCGCAUUAGCUAGUUGGUGAGGUAACGGCUCACCAAGGCAACGAUGCGUAGCCGACCUUGGAGGGUGAUCGGCCACGCUGGGACUGAGACACGGCCCAGACUCCUACGGGAGGCAGCAGUAGGGAAUCUUCCGCAAUGGACGAAAGUCUGACGGAGCAACGCCGCGUGAGUUAUGAAGGCUUUCGGGUCGUAAAACUCUGUUGUUAGGGAAGAACAAGUGCUAGUUGAAUAAGCUGGCACCUUGACGGUACCUAACCAGAAAGCCACGGCUAACUACGUGCCAGCAGCCGCCGUAA